rnacentral:misc_RNA from 1 species
UAAUAAGUGUUUUAUGGCACUUUUUAAAUCCAUAUCCACCUUGUGUGCAAUGUUAAGAGGAACCAGUUUGAGAGAUUUCGAUUUCUCAUUCUCGGUUUCUUUUCAUAACAAACUCAUUUUUUAACAUAUUGUCUGAAAACUAUUAUGAAUACUUAAUUCAAAAUA